GAGGCGGCCUGGCAGCGCGGAACGGAAGGACGCUAGGGGGCCUGCGUGUUUAUUGUUUCCACGGUCGCUUCCUGGAAAAGAUGAUGAGCAGUCCCGGGCCGCGGAGGGGCGCGGCGGGCGCGGUAAAGAAGUUUAGAGAUCUCCGAAGUCGCUAUCGACAGUGUUACUCUGAGGCGGAGGAGAAUUAAUCAGCGGUCUCAUCAAUGCUCCAGAAAUCAUGCUGGGUGAUAGAUAACUCCCAAAUCUGUAUUUCUGAGGACCGCAUCGCUUGUAAGGUCCUGAGUUCUGGUCCUGUGUCCAGGAAGAGUGAGGCACGCAAACAACUGGAGGGUGAGCAAGGUGGACAGGAGCUUCACUGAGGGACAGAACAGCUCUCCUGAGACCUGAAGUGGGUUGCUCCUUUCUGCAGGGGGGUUGUCCC
rnacentral:lncRNA from 1 species